UACGAAGGGGGCUAGCGUUGUUUGGAAUUACUGGGCGUAAAGCGCACGUAGGCGGAUUGUUAAGUCAGAGGUGAAAUCCCGGAGCUCAACUUCGGAACUGCCUUUGAUACUGGCAAUCUAGAGUCCGGAAGAGGUUAGUGGAAUUCCCAGUGUAGAGGUGAAAUUCGUAGAUAUUGGGAAGAACACCAGUGGCGAAGGCGGCUAACUGGUCCGGUACUGACGCUGAGGUGCGAAAGCGUGGGGAGCAAACAGG
rnacentral:rRNA from 1 species